UACAGAGGUGGCAAGCGUUGUUCGGAAUUACUGGGCGUAAAGGGCGCGUAGGCGGUUUUGUAAGUCCCGCGUGAAAUCCCCCGGCUCAACUGGGGAACUGCGUGGGAAACUGCGAGGCUUGAGUUCGGGAGAGGGAAGCGGAAUUCCGGGUGUAGCGGUGAAAUGCGUAGAUAUCCGGAGGAACACCGGUGGCGAAGGCGGCUUCCUGGACCGACACUGACGCUGAGGCGCGAAAGCUAGGGGAGCAAACGGG
rnacentral:rRNA from 1 species